rnacentral:rRNA from 1 species
AGAGUUUGAUCCUGGCUCAGGAUUAACGCUGGCGGCGUGCAUAACACAUGCAAGUCGAACGAUGAAACUUUAAUGAACCCUUCGGGGAGAAUUAAAGCGGAUUAGUGGCGAACGGGUGAGUAACGCGUGAGUAACCUGCCUUACACAAGGGGAUAGCCUUUGGAAACGAAGAAUAAUACCCUAUAAAACCAUAAAAGCACAUGCAAUUAUGGUCAAAGUAUUAGCGGUGUAAGAUGGACUUGCGUCUGAUUAGCUAGUUGGUGAGAUAAAAGCCCACCAAGGCAACGAUCAGUAGCCGGCUUGAGAGAGUGUACGGCCACAUUGGGACUGAGACACGGCCCAGACUCCUACGGGAGGCAGCAGUGGGGAAUUUUGCACAAUGGGGGAAACCCUGAUGCAGCGACGCCGCGUGAUUUAGAAGGCCUUCGGGUUGUAAAAAUCUUUUGUAUAGGAAGAAAAUGACAGUACUAUACGAAUAAGGUCCGGCUAAUUACGUGCCAGCAGCCGCGGUAAUACGUAAGGACCGAGCGUUGUCCGGAAUCAUUGGGCGUAAAGGGUACGUAGGCGGCUAGAAAAGUUAGAAGUCAAAGGCUAUAGCUCAACUAUAGUAAGCUUCUAAAACUAUUUAGCUUGAGAGAUGGAAGGGAAAGUGGAAUUCCUAGUGUAGCGGUGGAAUGCGCAGAUAUUAGGAGGAAUACCGGUGGCGAAGGCGACUUUCUGGCCAUUUUCUGACGCUGAGGUACGAAAGCGUGGGUAGCAAACAGGAUUAGAUACCCUGGUAGUCCACGCCGUAAACGAUGAGUGUUAGUGUCUGGAGUCAAAUCUGGGUGCCGCACAAACGCAUUAAACACUCCGCCUGGGGAGUACGCACGCAAGUGUGAAACUCAAAGGAAUUGACGG